CCAAGUUUGGAGGCGCAUGGCCCCCUCUAAUCACUGAAUAGUUCCACCCCCGUAAAUAGCCGACCUCAAUUAAUUUGGAAUUAAGGUUUUGUUGCUGUUCCUAUAAUUAACAUUCUAACAGAAAAUGAAUGCAGAUACCAUGUCACAGGUCCGAGUGCCUAAACUUGAUUCCUUAUUAAGGUUCAAGGAUCUACCAAUUUCCAAGUUUGGAACACCAGAUAAUUUCUUGCAGCUAAUAGCUCAUGCUUGCGAUAUAAAAUCAUCUUCAGCUGUCAUUUGGAAUACCAUGGAUUGCCUUGAAGAAUCACUAUUGGUCAAGCAGCAGAAAAAGCAAUUCCCCAUUCCAAUCUUCACAAUUGGUCCUAUGCACAAGUUUGCACCAGCUUCUUCCUGCAGUCUGCUAAAAGAGGAUAACAACUGCAUUACAUGGCUUGACAAGCAAAGUCAUAACUCAGUUCUUUACAUACGCUGGGGAAGUGUAGCCUCCAUAGAUGAGAUAGAAUUGGCUGAAAUGGCCAGGGGUCUUGCAAACAGCAAGCAGCCUUUCUUGUGGGUGAUUAGGCCUGGUUCAAUAUCUGGUUCAGUCUGGAUUGAAUUAUUGCCCAAGGGUUUCAUAGAAACUAUUGGCGAAAUAGGUUGUAUUUUGGAAUGGGUACCGUAAACGGAAGUACUGGCACAUCCUGCAGUGGGAGGAUUUUGGAGCCAUUGUGGUUGGAAUUCAAUCUUGGAGAGUAUAUCUGAAGGCGUUCCAAUGAUAUGCCGACCAUGUUUUGGGGAUCAAAGGGUAACAGCAAGGUAUGAAAGUCAUGUUUGGGGAAUAGGCUUUCAAUUGGAGAACAAAUUGGAAAGUCAUGAAAUAGAAAGAGCUGUAAAAAGGCUAAAGGUACAUGACGAAGGGAAGGAAAUGAGGUUGAGGGCUAAGGACAUGAAGGAAAAAGUUGAAGCCUGUUUCAAAAAGGGUGGCUCCUCCUACAAUUCGUUGAGUGAGUUAGAGGAAUUUACGUCACACUGGUAGCCACAACUAACAUCCUUCUGUGCCAUAUCUGAUAUAAAAAUAAGCACAUUGAAAUUUAGUUCAAGCAUGAUUGCAUGAUAAUUUAAUGCAAUGCUAAAUCAUGUAAUCAAAUAAAAAAGGGAAUCUGGAAGAGGACAACAUUUAUGAUUGCUUGCCUUCUGUCAUCCAUACAUCCUAAUUUUAACUUACAAACCACAACAGAGACACGCUGUUGUGUAUUUCCUCGCAUAAUUUUAUUGCCCAUUGCAAAGCCCCAUUCCAUGUUUCACUAACAAAAUGAUCCACAAACUAUGUCCUUUCAUAGGCUCUUUACUAUGAAUACAUGUACCCUGAAGCUGUCACCAAACUUCAUCAACAUGGCAGUACCGCCAAUUUACUAAAACACCGCGCAUAUCUUCAGAAGGAAGUUUACUUUCCUUUGGCCAGGUAAAAGGAGUUGGUGAUGUUAUGAAUUAAGUGACAUGCUGUACAAACAUUUUAAGACUUAUUGUAGUUAAAGAUACUGCGGAAAAAUAUUAUUAACAAAUAUGAAAAUAUAGAGAGUAGUUUCAUUAGAUCAUUAGACAAUCAUACGUUGUAUCACCCACUGUUCAUGAAAUCCAACUACGAGUAGUUACACCCAUUCCAUUUAUAAGAAAGAAAACAAUCAACCAGAGAUUUCAAUGGCCUUGACAUCAGGUUUCUUCACCUCCUCCUUAGGGACAGUCACAGUGAGAACCCCAUUCUCCAUGGAAGCCUUAACCUGAUCCAUCUUGGCAUUCUCCGGCAGCCUAAACCUCCUCAAGAAUUUGCCGCUGCUGCGCUCCACACGAUGCCAAGUAUCAUUCUUGUCUUCCUUCUCCACGUUCCUCUCACCGCUGAUUUGAAGCACUCUGUCAUCUUCAAUCUCUACUUUCACUUCCUCCUUUUUAAGCCCAGGAAGAUCAGCCUUAAAGACAUGAGCUUCUGCAGUUUCUUUCCAGUCUAUGCGAGUAUUAACAAAAGCAGAAUUUUCACGAGAGAUGAUUGAAGAGGAAGAAGGAAAUGGGAAGUCUUUGAAUGAAUCCCACAGGUCGAAAGAAUUGAAAGGAUCGAAAAUGCUGCUUCGUCGGUUACCGAAGAAGCUAGGAAUCAUUGCCAUUGUAGAUCGUUGAAAAGGCUUUUGAAAUAGAAAUUGAAGGGUUUGAUAGAUUGCUUUCGCCUGCUUU
rnacentral:misc_RNA from 1 species